UAGCUCAGUGGCAGAGCAUCGGCCUUGCCAGCCGAAGGUCCCAAGUUCAAUCCCUGGCAUCUCAG